rnacentral:rRNA from 1 species
UACGGAGGGUGCAAGCGUUGCUCGGAAUCAUUGGGCGUAAAGCGCACGUAGGCGGCUUCUUAAGUCGGGUGUGAAAGCCCUCGGCUCAACCGAGGAAGUGCAUUCGAAACUGCGGGGCUUGAAUACUGGAGAGGAUGGCGGAAUUCCCGGUGUAGAGGUGAAAUUCGUAGAUAUCGGGAGGAACACCAGCGGCGAAGGCGGCCAUCUGGACAGAUAUUGACGCUGAGGUGCGAAAGCGUGGGGAGCAAACAGG